rnacentral:rRNA from 1 species
AGAGUUUGAUCAUGGCUCAGAAUCAACGCUGGCGGCGUGCCUCAGACAUGCAAGUCGAACGAUUAAACUUCCUUUCGGGGAAGAUAUAAAGUGGCGUACGGGUGAGUAACACGUAGGUAAUGUACCUUUGGGUGGGGAAUAACUUAGGGAAACUUAAGCUAAUACCGCAUAAUGCAGCGGCUCGAUAUCGAGACAGUUGUUAAAGGAGUAAUCCGCCUAAAGAGCAGCCUGCGGCAGAUUAGCUAGUUGGUAAGGGUAAUGGCUUACCAAGGCUACGAUCUGUAACCGACCUGAGAGGGUGGUCGGUCACACUGACACUGAAUAACGGGUCAGACUCCUACGGGAGGCAGCAGUCGGGAAUUUUGGGCAAUGGGCGAAAGCCUGACCCAGCAACGCCGCGUGAAGGAUGAAGUCUCUCGGGAUGUAAACUUCGUAAGAAUAGGGAGAAUAGAUGACGGUACUAUUUGUAAGGUCCGGCUAACUACGUG